rnacentral:rRNA from 1 species
GGUGGUGCAUGGUUGUCGUCAGCUCGUGUCGUGAGAUGUUGGGUUAAGUCCCGCAACGAGCGCAACCCUUAUUAUCAGUUGCCAGCAUUCAGUUGGGCACUCUGGUGAGACUGCCGGUGACAAACCGGAGGAAGGUGGGGAUGACGUCAAAUCAUCAUGCCCCUUAUGACCUGGGCUACACACGUGCUNNNAUGGACGGUACAACGAGUCGCGAAGUCGUGAGGCUAAGCUAAUCUCUUAAAGCCGUUCUCAGUUCGGAUUGUAGGCUGCAACUCGCCUACAUGAAGUUGGAAUCGCUAGUAAUCGCGGAUCAGCAUGCCGCGGUGAAUACGUUCCCGGGUCUUGUACACACC